CUGCCGGAGUUCCACCCGCACAGCCUCUCGCUGGAUCGCACCGCCGAGCUCGCUCCUCUCUACCCUGCUGUUGUUACAGCAGGCCGUUAUUUCUCCUAUCUUCUGCAUUUUGGGGUUUGAAUGCUCAAUUGGAAGGUCUGCAUUCUUGCAGGCAACCUUACAAACUCAUUUGUCUUUAAGGGAGAAGCUAGAUCAUCAAUUCCUAUUCCCUCUACUUUUCGGUGGUUUUGGCCUAUUUCAAGAUGGUCUGUAGUUGAGGGGUCUUCAUACAUGUAUCUCACACGCACUGUGGAAAUGCUUAAUUCAGGUAGCAGCAUGCAGUGCCAGGGUACAACCCAAAGCUUAACAAGAACAGAAAACAGAUGCAACGGCAAUUAAGCACUCAAUUUUACUGAUGGUUUGCUAAGCGGCUAAAACAUCAAUGUCAUCUGUUACACUACAUAUAAUGAAAACAUGGAGUUUGUGGGGCAUUCAGGGUGAGGGUUGAUUUAA